AGUGAACGCUGGCGGUAGGCCUAACACAUGCAAGUCGAACGGCAGCACAGUAAGAGCUUGCUCUUACGGGUGGCGAGUGGCGGACGGGUGAGGAAUACAUCGGAAUCUACUUUUUCUUGGGGAUAACGUAGGGAAACUUACGCUAAUACCGCAUACGACCUACGGGUGAAAGCAGUGGAUCUUCGGACCUUGCGCGAUUGAAUGAGCCGAUGUCGGAUUAGCUAGUUGGCGGGGUAAAGGCCCACCAAGGCGACGAUCCGUAGCUGGUCUGAGAGGAUGAUCAGCCACACUGGAACUGAGACACGGUCCAGACUCCUACGGGAGGCAGCAGUGGGGAAUAUUGGACAAUGGGCGCAAGCCUGAUCCAGCCAUACCGCGUGGGUGAAGAAGGCCUUCGGGUUGUAAAGCCCUUUUGUUGGGAAAGAAAAGCAGCAGGUUAAUACCCCGCUGUCCUGACGGUACCCAAAGAAUAAGCACCGGCUAACUUCGUG
rnacentral:rRNA from 1 species